GCCGGCUGGAGGUGGUGCCUGCCGGGUCAGGGGCGCCGCGGCCCGGGAUAUCCGCUCUAUGGUGCGCAGGUGGUGCGGCCGCCGGCGGACGCGUCUUCGGGAUGGAGCACAUCCGUACGACCAAGGUUGAGCAAGUGAAAUUGCUCGACCGAUUCAGUACGAGCAACAAGUCGUUAACAGGAACCCUGUAUCUCACGGCCACACAUCUGCUGUUUAUAGACUCUCAUCAGAAAGAAACCUGGAUACUGCACCACCAUAUUGCCUUGGUGGAGAAACUAGCUCUCACGACUUCUGGAUGCCCUCUCGUGAUCCAGUGCAAGAACUUCCGGACUGUGCAUUUCAUUGUUCCCAGAGAAAGAGACUGCCACGAUAUUUACAACUCUUUGCUACAGCUGUCAAAACAAGCAAAAUAUGAAGAUCUCUAUGCAUUCUCUUAUAAUCCCAAACAAAACGAUUCAGAAAGGCUGCGAGGUUGGCAGCUCGUCGACCUCGCUGAAGAGUAUAAGAGGAUGGGCGUGCCGAAUUCCAACUGGCAGCUGUCCGACGCCAACCGCGACUACAAGAUUUGUGAAACUUAUCCCAGAGAACUUUAUGUUCCCCGAAUAGCAAGCAAACCAAUCAUUGUUGGUAGUUCCAAGUUCCGGAGCAAGGGAAGGUUCCCAGUUCUUUCCUACUAUCAUCAAAAUAAGGAGGCUGCCAUUUGUCGAUGUAGUCAGCCACUGUCAGGAUUCAGUGCCCGGUGCCUGGAGGAUGAACACUUGCUUCAGGCCAUCAGCAAAGCCAACCCAGCUAACCGCUACAUGUAUGUCAUGGACACCAGGCCCAGACAUCGCAUGCAGAGCUGGUGGGCUACACAAAAGGACAUUGGCAGAAUUAUAGUGAGAAUUUCUUCAAAAAUCUGGAAUGAUGAGAAAAUAAGAGAAAGCGAUGGGAAAAAGCGACUGAAUGCAAUGGCCAACAGAGCAGCUGGAAAAGGUUAUGAAAAUGAAGACAACUAUUCUAAUAUUAGAUUUCAGUUUGUUGGAAUUGAAAAUAUUCAUGUCAUGCGGUCCAGCCUUCAGAAAUUAUUGGAAGUCAACGGUACCAAAGGGCUUUCCGUCAGUGAUUUCUACUCGGGUCUGGAGAAUGCAGGAUGGCUGCGCCAUAUCAAAGCCGUUAUGGACGCUGCAAUCUUCUUAGCCAAAGCAAUAAUGGUUGAAAAUGCGAGUGUGUUGGUACAUUGCUCUGAUGGCUGGGACAGGACUUCCCAGGUCUGUUCCCUGGGCUCUCUCUUAUUGGAUCCCUACUACAGGACAAUCAGAGGAUUCAUGGUUUUAAUAGAAAAAGAUUGGAUCUCCUUUGGACAUAAAUAUUCGGAGAGGUGUGGCCAUUUGGAUGGUGACCCAAAGGAAGUUUCACCGGUGUUUACUCAGUUCUUGGAAUGUGUGUGGCAUUUGACUGAACAGUUUCCACAAGCCUUCGAAUUCAAUGAAGCGUUUCUUCUUCAGAUCCAUGAACAUAUUCAUUCAUGCCAAUUUGGAAACUUUAUUGGAAAUUGUCAGAAGGAAAGAGAAGAACUCAAGUUAAAGGAGAAGACUUACUCCCUGUGGCCGUUUCUUUUGGAUGACCAGGAGAAGUACUUCAAUCCUCUCUACAGUUCCACGUCUCAGAAAUUGGCAGUUUUGGAGCCAAAUACAGUAUCUUUCAAUUUCAAGUUUUGGAGAAACAUGUACCACCAGUUUGAUCGAACAUUGCAUCCUAGGCAGUCUGUGUUUAAUAUAAUUAUGAAUAUGAAUGAGCAAAAUAAGCAGUUACAGAAAGAUGUUAAAGACUUAGAAUCUCAAAUUAAGCAACAUAAAAAUAAGCAGACAGAUGGAGUUCUCACCAAGGAAUUGUUAAAUUCAGUUCGUCCUGAAUCACCUGCCCUCAGAACCUCCUUGUGUCUCAAGGAGCAGACUCUAGAGCUGCCUGUGAACGAUGCUCUCCGAACUGUAGAGGGCAGCAGCCCCGCAGAUAACCGCUACAGCGAGUACGCGGACGAGUUUUCCAAAGCGGAGCCUGCUGUGGUCAGCUCGGAGUAUGGCGUGGCCAGAAUGACGUGUUAGGCUCAGAGAGACUUUUCUGGCUGCCUGCGGUGCGAGAAGUGGAUUAUGAAGGUCAGCUUCAGAAUACUGGACAAUUUCCAGUUGGCAUUCCAAGUUGGAAGAAAUGCCUGCAGUCACCUGCAGUACUACACAGAGCAGUUGCAGACUAUGAAUGACAUCGGUCCAUUUUCAUUACCCAGAAAUGGGACCAGAACCUUCUUCAUUAAGAAACUAUUAUAGUUUCCCAUCGAUGUGGUUCUCCCUCUUCCUCACCCUGGGAAGUCUACCGCACAGCACCUGCCCACGGGGAAGUGCACAGGCUGAGGAAGCUGCCCCGCUUGAAACUGAUCCUAAAGGUGAGAGUCACUUGGAUAAAGCUGGGGUGUGUGCAGGGGCGGGUGAGGAGUGGGGUGAUGAACAUACGGCACGGUGUUCUCGUGCUGUUUAAAGGGCGGCUCGACAAGAGAAUUACUCAAGGGGUCAAUAUCACUUGGCGCGAGUUGAAUAAUUUAAAACCUUUAAGCUUUUCUUUUUGGAAAAGAAAUUAAGAGUUAAUUGGUCUCUGGAAGUGAUGGAUCGCAUGAGUGGAACCGGACGGGAGAAGGGAGUGCAGGUAGGUGGCAAAGGCAUUGGGAGAUUGUGGUGACUUUAAACGCCCUAACCUCUCCCGGCAGCGACAUCCCAGAUCAGAGGCUCAGCUUCCACGGGAAGAGCAACACACACGCUGGGUACAAAAUUCUGUCAAAGGGUUUCUGCCAGGAGGGUCACCUUCUGGCCCAGUGGCUGCAGACACCUGUGAGCCUAUGGCUGCUGCAGGCCUCAGGCCAUGGUAACGCUUUGGCAAAAUGAAUGGAGGGCAGUGUAGUGUGUACACGUGUUGGGAUCAGGUACUUUACUGUCUUCUCUUGGGAUGGAUGAUCUUCGUUUCUGAAAAUCGCUACUUAUUUUGCUGUUAUAUUUUCUUUGUGUGUGUUUGUUGAUUGCCUAAUGAUCUUCCUUGGAAUGUUAGAGUGCUACUGUUCUGUCUGCCUAACUCUGCUUCCCCUUUUGUGCUGGUAUCAGGUUGUUUACAGUCUUUGGCAUGGAUAAUUCUGAAAAUCUCUACAUUUUUUGCUGUUAUAAUAUAUUUUCUUUGUGUGUGUGUUUGUUGAUUGCUUAAUGACCUUCCUUGGAGCACUAGAAUGCUACUGUUCUGUCUGCCUAACUCCCCUUCCCUUUUUGGGCUUUCCAAUACAUCUUAUUGUUUUAUUUUAUUUUUUGUUUGUGUGUUCAUUUAUUCUGUUAUUCCACAUAUAUUAACCACGUACGUGGAAUUUAGGGGAACUUAGGCCAAAACCAUGAAAACAACUUUGCCCCUCAUUGCAGCACACUUUGAGCUUCACUAGUUCCUUAAAUCUCGGUGUGGGUUAAGUUUCAGAUUCUUUUCCUGAGAGGAUGGAGUGGGGAGAGAGAAUGAGAGAUUUUGGAAUCCUCAAGAGAGUGGAAAAGACAUAGAAAGAUGAACAGGGGGGUUCACCAAAUCAAACUGUGAGUGCCCCAACUUUCCGGGCACCUGAGUGGGUGGGUGUGGACCUUGGUUAAUUCACUAGCGCCAACAGAAAGAGUUGUUCUUAAAUCACAGACACUUUAAAGAUGCUUGAAGGAGUGUUCACCACGUAAAGAGCUGCAGGAUCUCAGUACCAGGGAAAAUGUGGGUAUCAUUCUGUAGAUGUUUCCACUUGGGGUGAGUUAAUAAAACUUAUCAAAGCCAGGUGAAAUUGGAGCAAAUCUUUUCCAACCAGUACCUGUUACUGCCUCUCUCCAACACCAGGCUACAAGCAUCUUAAGGGCAGGGGCUGAGUCUUGUUCACCAUUAUUCCUAGUACAAUACCAAAUCAAUAUUUAUUAAUUAAUUAAUCAUGCUAUGUGAUGGCCCAGAGUGCCAGGACCCGCUUCCCAAAUUAAAAGCUGAUUCCAUCUUACCGUGGGAAAUUGUUUCUUUUGACCCUAAUUUUCUACCACGCUAUGAAAAUUUAUGAGGGAGAAGAUAGAGCUCAUAAACUUUCCCCCAGUUCCAGGCAAGCCUCUUGUGUUCCAGAGCACACACCGUCCUUGAAUGGCUGCACCUCCCAAUGACUGCCCAGCUCACUUGGAAUAAAAUUUCAGCCCCUCGCUGGGGAUGUAACCUCUUCCCUGCCAACCUCCCCAGAAUGGGAUGAAAGGAACCUUUGUCUUCAUCACAAAUCCUUUCUUAGGAAGACAAAAUCAAACACACUGUCAAAACCCUGAUGUUACCACUUUUAGCGUAUGAAUGCUUGCUUACUGAAGGCGAUGGGAAAUGGAACAGCGGGAUGCCUGCCGGAAAGAGGGCAGUUUCACAGCACCCGUGGCCUUGCCCCUCCCCCUUCCUCGGGAGGCCUGGGAAAAGAGCUGCGUGUAUUCCUGCCUCAGCCUUGAGGACCAGGGCUUUCAUUGUGCUGAGCUGGGUUUCCCACUGAGCUGCCACUCAGACGCAGCGGGACUGGAAGUCGGCAACCCCGCUGCCAAGGCCGAGUGAGCAUCCAAGGACCAUCUCCGCGGAGAAACGGCCGUGGGAAAAUGCGGCCCCUCCCAGCAUCACCCACGUCAUCUUCACCAGCACCUUCCGAGUUCAAGCUCCAAAACUGUAAAUCCUCGUUCAGCUCCCACAACCUAGGAUUCGCUGCUGCUGCUGCCGGUGGGUUAGGUCCCAUCAGGUAGCCGAAAGCAAAGAGAGGAGAAGUGCGGGCUGGUCAUCCCUUCCUGGAGGAGAACUUUCUGAUUCAAAUUCCUCGGGUGUCACUGCCAAUUCAAUUCACAGUUCACAGAGAGAUUCAACCGGGAUUCCCCAGGAGAAAAGGCAGCAAGAUUUGAAACUCAAAUUUAUUUUUAACAUCUUUAUUGGAAUAAAAUUGCUUUACAAUGCUG